GGUUAAGUGACUAAGCGUACACGGUGGAUGCCUUGGCAGUUGGAGGCGAUGAAGGACGUAUUAACUUGCGAUAAGCUUAGUCGAGCUAGUAAAAAGCACUUGAGACUAAGAUUUCCGAAUGGGGAAACCCACCUGUUUACAGGUAUCGUUAACUGAAUACAUAGGUUAACGAGGCGAACGCGGAGAACUGAAACAUCUAAGUACCCGUAGGAAAAGAAAUCAACCGAGAUUCCGGAAGUAGCGGCGAGCGAAACCGGAACAGCCCUUAAGCUUAUUUGUGAUUAGUGGAAUGCUCUGGAAAGUGCAGCGACACAGGGUGAUAGCCCCGUACAUGAAAAUCUAUAGUAAGUGAAAUCGAGUAGGUCGGGACACGUGUUAUCUUGACUGAAUAUAGGGGGACCAUCCUCUAAGGCUAAAUACUCCCAACUGACCGAUAGUGAACCAGUACCGUGAGGGAAAGGCGAAAAGAACCCCUGUGAGGGGAGUGAAAUAGAACCUGAAACCGUGUACGUACAAGCAGUAGGAGCAUACUUGUUAUGUGACUGCGUACCUUUUGUAUAAUGGGUCAGCGACUUAUAUUUUGUAGCGAGGUUAACCAAUUAGGGGAGCCGUAGGGAAACCGAGUCUUAACUGGGCGUAUAGUUGCAAGGUAUAGACCCGAAACCCGGUGAUCUAGCCAUGGGCAGGUUGAAGGUUGAGUAACAUCAACUGGAGGACCGAACCCACUAACGUUGAAAAGUUAGGGGAUGACUUGUGGCUAGGAGUGAAAGGCUAAUCAAACCGGGAGAUAGCUGGUUCUCCCCGAAAUCUAUUUAGGUAGAGCCUCGGACGAAUACUUACGGGGGUAGAGCACUGUUAAGGCUAGGGGGUCAUCCCGACUUACCAACCCUUUGCAAACUCCGAAUACCGUAAAGUAMUAUCCGGGAGACACACGGCGGGUGCUAACGUCCGUCGUGAAGAGGGAAACAACCCAGACCGCCAGCUAAGGUCCCAAAGUGUAUGUUAAGUGGGAAACGAUGUGGAAAGGCCCAGACAGCCAGGAGGUUGGCUUAGAAGCAGCCAUCCUUUAAAGAAAGCGUAAUAGCUCACUGGUCGAGUCGGUCUGCGCGGAAGAUGUAACGGGGCUAAACAUACCACCGAAGCUGCGGCUGCAUACUUAUGUAUGCGGGGUAGGGGAGCGUUCUGUAAGCCGUUGAAGGUGAACCGGGAGGUUUGCUGGAGGUAUCAGAAGUGCGAAUGCUGACAUGAGUAACGAUAAUGCGGGUGAAAAACCCGCACGCCGGAAGACCAAGGGUUCCUAUCCCAUGUUAAUCAGGGUAGGGUGAGUCGACCCCUAAGGCGAGGCGGAAACGCGUAGUCGAUGGGAAACGGGUUAAUAUUCCCGUACUCGGCAUGAAUGCGAUGGGGAGACGGAGCAGGCUAGGCAAGCAUGGCGUUGGUUGUCCAUGUGAAAGUAAGUAGGUUGAGAACUUAGGCAAAUCCGGGUUCUUAAGACUGAGAUACGAGACGAGUCACUACGGUGAUGAAGUUGUUGAUGCCAUACUUCCAGGAAAAUCCUCUAAGCUUCAGUUCAUGCUGAAUCGUACCCCAAACCGACACAGGUGGUCAGGUAGAGAAUACUAAGGCGCUUGAGAGAACUCGGGUGAAGGAACUAGGCAAAAUAGUACCGUAACUUCGGGAGAAGGUACGCUGCUGACGGUGAUAGGACUUGCUCCUUAAGCUGUUGGCAGUCACAGUAACCAGGUGGCUGGGACUGUUUAUUAAAAACACAGCACUGUGCAAAAUCGAAAGAUGACGUAUACGGUGUGACACCUGCCCGGUGCCGGAAGGUUAAUUGAUGGGGUUAUCUUCGGAGAAGCUCUUGAUCGAAGCCCCGGUAAACGGCGGCCGUAACUAUAACGGUCCUAAGGUAGCGAAAUUCCUUGUCGGGUAAGUUCCGACCUGCACGAAUGGUGUAACCAUGGCCACGCUGUCUCCACCCGAGACUCAGUGAAAUUGAAAUCGCAGUGAAGAUGCUGUGUACCCGCGGCUAGACGGAAAGACCCCGUGAACCUUUACUACAGCUUGGCACUGAACAUUGAACCUACAUGUGUAGGAUAGGUGGGAGACUUUGAAGCAGCGACGCUAGUUGUUGUGGAGUCGUCCUUGAAAUACCACCCUUGUAGUUUUGAUGUUCUAACGUAGGCCCCUAAUCGGGGUUGCGGACAGUGCCUGGUGGGUAGUUUGACUGGGGCGGUCUCCUCCCAAAGAGUAACGGAGGAGCACGAAGGUUUGCUAAGUACGGUCGGACAUCGUACGGUUAGUGUAAUGG
rfam:Pseudoalteromonas ulvae strain TC14 Contig_128, whole genome shotgun sequence.